AAAAACUAUGACCCCUCCCCUACAAAAUAAAGAUGAUCGGUGCAUUGGUAUUCCCAUUUUCUGCUGCAGCAAUUUGUAUGUUUAUAAAGGGCAUAAUUCAUGAACGAUAUAUUUGAUAACAAUUAAUUUCAAACUUGAUCUGUAAGUUGUGGUAAUAAACAUUGCGUAUAACUUUCAUAACAUUUGGUUGAGGCAAACUAAAUUUAGAGAACGGAAACCAAUUUGGGG
rnacentral:lncRNA from 1 species